CAAUAGCGUAUAUUAAAGUUGUUGCGGUAAAAAAGCUCGUAGUUGGAUUUCUGUUGAGAGCGACCGGUCCAUACCAUGUAUGCGUAUCUGGCUUGCUCUCGGCUUCCUCUCGAUAGACGUUACUGCGCUUGAUUGCGUGGUGCGGAUCUCGGGACUUUUACUUUGAGGAAAUUAGAGUGUUCACGGCAGGCUUUCGCCAGAAUACAUUAGCAUGGAAUAAUACUAUAGGAUCUUGGUUCUAUUUUGUUGGUUUCUAGAAUUGAGAUAAUGAUUAAUAGGGACAAUUGGGGGCAUUCGUAUCAACACGUCAGAGGUGGAAUUCUUGGAUUGUGUUGCGACGAACUACUGCGAAAGCAUUUGCCAAGGAUGUUUUCAUUGA
rnacentral:rRNA from 1 species